rnacentral:rRNA from 1 species
UACGGAGGGUGCAAGCGUUGUCCGGAAUCACUGGGCGUAAAGGGCGCGUAGGCGGCCUGAUAAGUAGGGGGUGAAAUCCUGCGGCUUAACCGCAGGGCUGCCUUCUAAACUGCCAGGCUCGAGCACAGUAGAGGCAGGUGGAAUUCCCGGUGUAGCGGUGGAAUGCGUAGAUAUCAGGAGGAACACCAGCGGCGAAGGCGGUGCUCUGGGCCGGAACUGACGCUGAGGAGCGAAAGCGUGGGGAGCAAACAGG